rnacentral:rRNA from 1 species
AACGAACGCUGGCGGCAGGCCUAACACAUGCAAGUCGAACGCUCGUAGCAAUACGAGAGUGGCAGACGGGUGAGUAACACGUGGGAACCUUACCCUAUGGUUCGGAAUAGCUCAGGGAAACUUGGGGUAAUACCGGAUAAGCCCUUCGGGGAAGAUUAUCGCCAUUGGAUGGGCCCGCGUCGGAUUAGCUAGUUGGUGAGGUAACGGCUCACCAAGGCAACGAUCCGUAGCUGGUCUGAGAGGAUGAUCAGCCACACUGGGACUGAGACACGGCCCAGACUCCUACGGGAGGCAGCAGUGGGGAAUAUUGGACAAUGGGCGCAAGCCUGAUCCAGCCAUGCCGCGUGAGUGACGAAGGUCUUCGGAUUGUAAAACUCUUUUGGCGGGACGAUAAUGACGGUACCCGCAGAAUAAGCCCCGGCUAACUUCGUGCCAGCAGCCGCAGUAAU